GGUUGAGUACGCAAACCGGAAAAGCGACUUGGUCGAGAGCCAAGUGACUCUGCAGGUUCGACUCCUGUCUCAACCACC
rnacentral:tRNA from 1 species